GUGGGGAAUUUUGGACAAUGGGCGCAAGCCUGAUCCAGCAAUGCCGCGUGCAGGAAGAAGGCCUUCGGGUUGUAAACUGCUUUUGUACGGAACGAAACGGUCCUGGUUAAUACCUGGGGCUAAUGACGGUACCGUAAGAAUAAGCACCGGCUAACUACGUGCCAGCAGCCGCGGUAAUACGUAGGGUGCGAGCGUUAAUCGGAAUUACUGGGCGUAAAGCGUGCGCAGGCGGUGCUGUAAGACAGGCGUGAAAUCCCCGGGCUCAACCUGGGAAUUGCGCUUGUGACUGCAGUGCUGGAGUACGGCAGAGGGGGAUGGAAUUCCGCGUGUAGCAGUGAAAUGCGUAGAUAUGCGGAGGAACACCGAUGGCGAAGGCAGUCCCCUGGGCCUGUACUGACGCUGAGGUGCGAAAGCGUGGGGAGCAAACAGGAUUAGAUACCCCAGUAGUCC
rnacentral:rRNA from 1 species